CAGUCGCCGCGGUAAUACGAAGGGGGCUAGCGUUGCUCGGAAUUACUGGGCGUAAAGGGCGCGUAGGCGGACAGUUAAGUUGGGGGUGAAAGCCCGGGGCUCAACCUCGGAAUUGCCUUCAAUACUGGCUGUCUUGAGUAUGAGAGAGGUGUGUGGAACUCCGAGUGUAGAGGUGAAAUUCGUAGAUAUUCGGAAGAACACCAGUGGCGAAGGCGACACACUGGCUCAUUACUGACGCUGAGGCGCGAAAGCGUGGGGAGCAAACAGGAUUAGAUACCCCCGUAGUCCCUGUCUCUUAUAC
rnacentral:rRNA from 1 species